ACAACUCUUGAAAAACCGAGCAAGCAUAAAAAAAAAAUAUAUAUAAAAUAUAGAAAAGAGAAACAUCUGUUUUGUAAAUAUGAUGUGAAAGAAAAGAAAAAAUAGAGAAAAUGAAAAUGAAUGCUUGCUUGGAAGAAAAAUAGUGAAAAACAAAAAUUGAGUUGUGAAAUAAGAGUUGUGAAGGUUUCAAAUGAGAAACAAAUGGAACGAAGUUGAGAUGUGUGAAUAAUGUACAGUGAAUGUCUCUUUUGCAUCGGCAAUUUCGUUUUCAAUGGCCUUAGAAAUGACCCUUGUUUGUUAACCUAACCAAGCUUCAACCGAAAAGUCCUUAGUGAUCUUCGUGCUUCCACAUUACCAUUUAUAAUUGUUAGACAUUGUAUGAAUUGAAUUGAUUUCUUCAUUGUUUGUUGGAGAGUGAGAUUAUUCCCGCGGUUGCAAACGCGUAAUUUCUUCAAUCCUUAUUCGAAGAGGAGAGAUAGGGUGAUUCAUUCAAGAUAAUAUUGUUGUGGAUAGAUACAUAUUUCGCAUUGCUACUAAGUUUUAGUUCUUGUGUAUUAUUUUAUUCUAACCGUUGGAAAUUUGUAUCUGCUGAUUCGCUUGUGUUUGAGCCGUUUUAUCCGAUUUCGGAGAAACCUUUUUCUUAAUGCAAAUCCUCUUGUCCUUCAAGAGGCAUACUUUGCUUGAGGACAAGCAAGAAUCUAGUUGGGGAGAGUUGUUAGAUACCCAAAAGUGCUUAUUUGAGCUAUCAAAUAUGGGCAUCUUUCACUCCAUUUCCUUGCUAAAGUGUUCGAAACCACCUUUGUUUUAGAUGAAUUGCAAUACAAUGAUAAACGAUCUUGGUACCUUUGAUUUGUGUGUUAUUGUGCAUGAAUUAGGCAUGAAAUAAUAGAAAAUGAAGGCACAAGAAAGUUGGCAAAGGGACCAAAAAAAGGAUGCAUUCAUCAGCUUGCUCGCUAGGCGAGGGCUAUGGCGAAGAGCUCGCUAGGCGAGCACCCAGCGAACAGCUCCAGUAUUUUACAGUAGCAAACAUCAACAAACUCGCUAGGCGAGCAACCAACGAAGAUGGUGGCGAAUACGUCCAGACUUGGUCAAAAGCGCAGCCAGCACUCACUCGCUAGGCGAGCCAUUAGCGAGCUCCCAGCGAGCAAUUCCAGUAGCAAAACCUCCUAAGCUCGCUGGAGCGAAGGUUGAAGAGUGGGCUUCGCCUAGCGAAGGUUUUGUUCGCCUAGCGAACAUGCAAAUCUAGCAAAGGAUAUUUCUUUGGGCGCAGGUGCCUCAUUUUGGGGCUCGCUAGGCGAGCCAUUCUGCUCGCCUAGCGAGCAUGACAGCUCAGUAGCAGCACUAUAAGUAGCAGGGGCUACUUUUUGGAGCCAUAUCUAGGAUCCGAUCCUUUCCAGCAGGCUGUCUGCAACUACAACUGGGAUUGGAUGGCGGCAACUCAGCGCGCCAUGCUCGAUAUGCACGAUUCUAUGCAGCUGUUACAGUUGCAGAUGCGCGACCCCCCCGGUGAGCAUUCUAUGAUGACACGUGAGCCGUUUCUGCAGCACGCUAGCUGGCCUGUGGACAGGCCUGUGUUUGGAGAGGGGGCGGGUGCUGGUGCAGCUGGUGCUGGUGCUUCUUCUGGUGCUGCUGAAGAUGAUGAUGAUGAUGAUGCUACCGGUUCUGAAGCCGGUAGUGAUAAGGGUUAUGAGUCCUUGGAGGGCUAAGUUUAUUUUAUUUUUCAUAUUAUGUUUUAUUUCUAUUGUAUUUUCAGAUUUGUGUAUUUUGAUUUUGGUUAUGUACUUUUGGGGUGUCUUGUCCCCCAUGCACAAUUUUAAAUUUUGAAGUAAUGUUAUUAUCUAUGUUUUAAAUUUCUUUUGUUUUAAUAAAUUUUUGGUUGGUUGAGUGUCAAACCUUCUAGAUUGGUUGCUCCUCAAAGAAGUAUCCAAUGAAGGUGCAUCCGAGCUUGGAUGGCAAUGAUAAAAAUAUGGUUGAGUGUCAAACCUUCUAGAUUGGUUGCUCCUCAAAGAAGUAUCCAAUGAAGGUGCAUCCGAGCUUGGAUGGCAAUGAUAAAAAUAAACAAGUGAAUAAUGCUAAGGUACAUGGUUACCUCCGUCUAGAAUUUUAGAAUGCAUUAAGAACUUUACUCUUUUUUGUAAUUGAAUAUUGUCUUUUUGCAACAUAAUUGAAUGAAUAUUCACUUAGGGUGAGUAAGAAAUAAGUUGGGGAGAACGAAAAUGAGAAUCGGUAAGUGCCACAACUCUUGAAAAACCGAGCAAACAUAAAAAAAAUAAUAAUAUAUAAAAUAUAGAAAAGAGAAACAUCUGUUUUGUAAAUAUGAUGUGAAAGAAAAGAAAAAAUAGAGAAAAUGAAAAUGAAAAUGAAUGCUUGCUUUAAAGAAAAAUGGUGAAAAACAAAAAUUGAGUUGUGAAAUAAGAGUUGUGAAGGUUUCAAAUGAGAAACAAAUGGAAUGAAGUUGAG
rnacentral:lncRNA from 1 species